rnacentral:rRNA from 1 species
CCUACGGGAGGCAGCAGUGAGGAAUAUUGGUCAAUGGGCGCAAGCCUGAACCAGCCAAGUCGCGUGAGGGAUGACGGUCCUAUGGAUUGUAAACCUCUUUUGUCGGGGAGCAAGGCCCGCCACGUGUGGCGGGAAGGAGAGUACCCGAAGAAAAAGCAUCGGCUAACUCCGUGCCAGCAGCCGCGGUAAUACGGAGGAUGCGAGAGUUAUCCGGAUUUAUUGGGUUUAAAGGGUGCGUAGGCGGAAGGUUAAGUCAGCGGUCAAAUGUCGGUGUUCAAAACCGGCCUGCCGUUGAAACUGGUCGUCUUGAGUGAGCGAGAAGUAUGCGGAAUGCGUGGUGUAGCGGUGAAAUGCAUAGAUAUCACGCAGAACUCCGAUUGCGAAGGCAGCAUACCGGCGCUCAACUGACGCUGAGGCACGAAAGCGUGGGGAUCGAACAGGAUUAGAUACCCGGGUAGUC